UACGGGGGGAGCAAGCGUUGUUCGGAUUUACUGGGCGUAAAGGGCGCGUAGGCGGUCAGCACAAGUCAGUUGUGAAAUCUCCGGGCUUAACUCGGAAAGGUCAACUGAUACUGUGCGGCUAGAGUGCAGAAGGGGCAACUGGAAUUCUCGGUGUAGCGGUGAAAUGCGUAGAUAUCGAGAGGAACACCUGCGGCGAAGGCGGGUGCUGGGCUGACACUGACGCUGAGGAGCGAAAGCGUGGGGAGCGAACAGG
rnacentral:rRNA from 1 species